AUUGAACGCUGGCGGCAUGCUUUACACAUGCAAGUCGAGCGGCAGCGCGGGGGCAACCCUGGCGGCGAGCGGCGAACGGGUGAGUAAUGCAUCGGAACGUGUCCGGGAGUGGGGGAUAACCCGCCGAAAGGCGGGCUAAUACCGCAUAUGCUCUUUGGAGGAAAGGGGGGGACCGCAAGGCCUCCCGCUUUCGGAGCGGCCGAUGCCCGAUUAGCUAGUUGGUGGGGUAAUGGCUUACCAAGGCGACGAUCGGUAGCUGGUCUGAGAGGAUGAUCAGCCACACUGGGACUGAGACACGGCCCAGACUCCUACGGGAGGCAGCAGUGGGGAAUUUUGGACAAUGGGGGGCAACCCUGAUCCAGCCAUGCCGCGUGCGGGAAGAAGGCCUUCGGGUUGUAAACCGCUUUUAGCCGGGAAGAAAAGGCAGGGGCUAACACUCUCUGUUCUUGACGGUACCGGCGGAAUAAGCACCGGCUAACUACGUG
rnacentral:rRNA from 1 species